rnacentral:misc_RNA from 1 species
GGGUGGUGAGCGAGCUCCGGGAGACGAUCAACAACUACAUGAACCAGGCGACGGGGAACGACGAGCGGUUCUCGCACAUCGAGGAGAAGGACAAGCAGUCCAUCGUCGAGAAGUGCGCGACGAUCCAGAAGUGGCUCGAGGACCAGAGCGUGCGGCAGAGCGAGCGGCCGAAGAACGUGGACCCGGUGCUGCUGGCGGCGGACGUGCUGAAGAAGAAGG